UUCAGACCUGUGCUCUUCUGAACUCCCUAACACAUGCUCUGACUGACAGGCUCCCCUACCUGAAAUCCUGUAGUGGGAGCCUGUGGAAUCUCAUGAAACUGGGCCAUGCAUGCCCCCGACAAGCUGCCUGCCUGCCUUCUGCCUGCCGUGUCCCUGGCCCAUGAUGGUGCUUGCAUGUGCUGGCCAGGUGGCCGCCCUCACUGGCAGACUUCUUGCCCCUUGGCGUAGGACUCUGGGACUUUGCAGACUCUGGUGGGCCUUUCCCGUAGCAGAGAAACCUGGCAGUGGCACUUUCUGCACUGCUGAGUCAAUCCUGGGCGCGUCCUCAGCAUCUCGGAGAGCACGGGUGUCACCCCAGGGGUGAGCACGCACCUGCUUUGUGAAAGAUUUAUUGUCAGGAAGAUCUGUUUCCCCCACCCCCCGCCCCUCUGCAGAGAGCAGUGUGUAAUAACAGUCCUCAGCAAGCCAAAAGACUCGAGGAUUAUGAAAUGUGGAUGUCUCCUGUGUCGCUUUCACGGUCCUUGCUACCCAGGAGCUCCAUCACCAACCCUGUGUCUGGCUCAUCACUGGCAGGGAGGAUCAGCCGUGGAUGGUAGGAGCUCUUCUCUGUCCUGCCCUUGUCAGAAGGAUUCAAGGCCAAAGGUGAUGGAGAAGUACAGAAACCAUCUUAAAAGUUGAACUUGGCCUGUGGCACUUGGCACCAUCCCUUACUUUGUACAGUUAUUUGCUGAAAGCCAACCGUGUCUAGGGAGGGGGCGGGUGAGGGUGGAUACUCUCGAAGCACCUGUGGUUCUUUUCAUGCCCAAUUGAAUUGCCUCAGUGGCAUCUGGCGUUUGCUUGCCACUGGGGCUUUCUGGUACUUGAUUUCAGUUUUUUUAAAUGUUUAUUUAUUUAUUUUGAGAGAGAGAGAGAGAGGUAAGAGAGAGCGAGCAGGGAAAGGGCAGAGAGAG